rnacentral:rRNA from 1 species
CCUGGUUGAUCCUGCCAGUAGUCAUAUGCUUGUCUCAAAGAUUAAGCCAUGCAUGUGUAAGUACAGGCCGACUUAAGGCGAAACCGCGGACGGCUCAUUAAAUCAGAUAUAACUCAUUGGAUCUCUGCUGAACCGCAUUACUUGGAUAACUGUGGUAAUUCUAGAGCUAAUACAUGCCUUUGUAGUCUCCGACCGCGAGGGAGGAGCGCUUUUAUUAGACCAAAACCCUCGGCAGCCGGUUCCCGCAAGGGGCCGGCCGCACACAUCUUGGUGAAUCAGAAUAACUUUUGCCGAGCGCACGACCCCUCCCGUAACCCGGGUUGGGUCGGCGCCGCGUCCUGCAGGCGUCUGCCUUAUCAGCUCUCGAUUGUAGGUUAAACGCCUACAAUGGCUAUCACGGGUAACGGGGAAUCAGGGUUCGAUUCCGGAGAGGGAGCCUGAGAAACGGCUACCACAUCUAAGGAAGGCAGCAGGCGCGCAAAUUACCCACUCCCGGCACGGGGAGGUAGUGACGAAAAAUACUGUUGCGAGCCCCGAACGGGGCCUCGCAAUUGGAAUGAGUACACUUUAAAUCCUUGUACGAGGAUCGAGUGGAGGGCAAGUCUGGUGCCAGCCGCCGCGGUAAUUCCAGCUCCACUAGCGUAUAUUAAAGUUGUUGCGGUUGAAACGCUCGUAGUUUGACUUCUGCUCCGGACCGGCGGUCCGCCUUAGCGGCGGCUACUGCCGGGUUCCGAGCUGUGUCCCCGCCGGCGCACAUGGGGUUUUUAUGCCCUUAACCGGGUGUCCCCUUGUGGCCGGCACGUUUACUUUGAAAAAAUUAGAGUGCUCAGAGCAGGCUGGUUUUUGCUUACAGCCCGAAUGGUCGUGCAUGGAAUGAUGGAACAGGACCUCGGUUCUAUUUUGUCGGUUUUUCGGAACCCGAGGUAAUGAUUAAUAGAAGCAGACGGGGGCAUUCGUACUGCGACGCUAGAGGUGAAAUUCUUAGACCGUCGCAUGACGACCUACUGCGAAAGCAUCUGCCAAGGAUGUUUUCAUUGAUCAAGAACGAAAGUUAGAGGUUCGAAGGCGAUCAGAUACCGCCCUAGUUCUAACCUUAAACGAUGCUGACUAGCGAUCCGCCGCAGUUAUUCCCAUGAUGGAAAACUGUGGAACCUCAACAAUUACCGUACUGACAUGAUCCAAGCACUGGGUGGUGUAGAAGGUAUUCUAGAGCACACACUCUUCAAGGGCACAUACUUCCCUACCUGGGAGGGUCUCUUCUGGGAGAAGGCAUCAGGAUUUGAAGAGAGCAUGAAGUACAAGAAGCUCACUAACGCCCAGAGGUCAGGUUUGAACCAGAUUCCCAACCGUCGCUUCACCCUCUGGUGGUCCCCAACCAUCAACAGGGCUAAUGUGUAUGUAGGUUUCCAGGUGCAGCUCGAUCUGACUGGUAUUUUCAUGCACGGUAAGAUUCCCACCCUGAAGAUCUCUCUUAUCCAGAUUUUCCGUGCCCAUUUGUGGCAGAAGAUCCAUGAGUCUGUGGUGAUGGACUUGUGUCAGGUAUUCGAUCAAGAACUUGAUGCACUAGAGAUUGAGACUGUGCAGAAGGAGACUAUUCAUCCCAGGAAGUCCUAUAAGAUGAAUUCAUCUUGUGCUGACAUCUUGCUCUUUGCAGCCUACAAGUGGAACUACUCAAAACCAUCACUGUUAGCAGAUUCCAAGGACACAAUGGAUGGAUCAACAACGCAGAAAUACUGGAUUGAUGUUCAGCUGAGGUGGGGUGAUUA